AGUGAACGCUGGCGGCAGGCCUAACACAUGCAAGUCGAACGGCAGCACGGGGGCAACCCUGGUGGCGAGUGGCGAACGGGUGAGUAAUACAUCGGAACGUGCCCAGUAGUGGGGGAUAGCCCGGCGAAAGCCGGAUUAAUACCGCAUACGACCUACGGGUGAAAGCGGGGGACCGCAAGGCCUCGCGCUAUUGGAGCGGC
rnacentral:rRNA from 1 species